AGAAACCUUUAUAUUGAGUUCACAUUUUAAAAUGCGUAAGACCUUUUUCUAGUGCGAUUCUUUGACAAACCGAAGGAAGUCAGAUUUAUUAGACAAGUCACAAGAGCACAAAAGCUAUCAUCUUCUUCAGCAAAAGUGUGAUGUUCCCUUUUUUCUUUCAUUUCUUUUGUUCUUUUUGGAAUUUCAUCCCUUUGCUGUCCUCCUCCAUUAUAAUCCUUUGUUUUGAUAUUUGGUUGCAUUCGAUCCAUGUCCAUGGUUUUGAUUUUUAAUGUAACCCUUUGCUUUACAGAAACAAGAUAUGGGGGUUCACGGUUUUACUGCAGAUCAACUGUUCGUUGAAAUGUCUCUUUGUUCCCAUCUCCUACGUUAUGGCCCAUGUGGGGCCAUGUGAUUCAUGAAAAACUGUGGAGAGACGGUCAACAACUCCGACUUGUUUGUCCCCAAGAAAUCUAUAUACAUCCAAACAUUAUUUAACAAAUAUUCUGUAACGACCCGGUUUUCACUAAACCGAUAUUGAAAUUGGUUUGAUUAUUUAAUUGGACUAAACCAAACUAAUCGCUAAACCAAAGCGAUAUAUAUAAAACCGUAUGCAUCUCCUUCCUCAUGUUAACCUAGCCGACAUUUUUACAAGCAGAAACCAGCAGGGCUUUUCAUCACCAACCACCAUUCGUCAUAGUCUUCAUCAGAGGAUCCCCACCGUCAUGAUCAUCUCACCGGAGGAGGGUCUGAGAUCCUUGCCGCGCCGGAGCCUUUAUCAACCCUCGUCAUGGCUGACUUAACCGAGAGAUGGAGGAGGAACGAUCUAAACUGGAGCUGUGGCGUUUAACACCAUUCACCACCAUCGUUAACCAUGAGCCAAAGGAGGAGCAAGCCAUGCCACCACUGACUCGUGCCGUGAUCACCGGAGUUUGAUCCAGCCACCAUUAUCAAGCCGUGUCCCACCACCGGAGUCAUCAUCUUCAUUAUCACCACCGGAGCCGUCGUCAUGCCACUGUCAUAAUCUUGUUGCAAUAGAUCCAUCGAUGUUACCAUGCUCUUUGCUCACGUCGGAUCCAUUCAAUGGAUAGCGUGAACAUGCGGAGACUAAGAAAGAGAGAGUGAAACCAGAUCCGUCAGCGUCUCGACACUACCAACACCGAUCAGCACCAUUAUGAACCGUGAGCCACCUGAGUCACAGCUCCCGUCGACGGAGUCCAAGAAGCUUAAGCCGCGAGGUUAAGUACCAUUGUUUUUGGUUCUUGUGUUGCAAGAAACAUAUAUAACGUAAACCUUAUUCAUGCACAUGCGCGCAGGAUGCAAUCAUGCAAUUUUAGUGUUACUUGUAUUUCAAGUAAUUAAUUCUAAAGUUGGACUGAGUUUUGUUGGACGAGAUCUUGGAGCAUUUUUGUGAUUCAUCUCCAAUAUUAGCUAAGGUGAGACUGACGAGUAUAUGAUAUUUGGACGGAUUGGUGAUACUGAUUUUUAUUUGGGUUUGGAGUGAGUGUAGUCGUGUGUAUGGGCUAUUGUGUUAUGAGAUAUUGUUGGUGGCACGUUGUUCCCUAGAUAGGAGGUGACGGGUGUCACAUAUUCCUUUUCCUUCUUCCUUAUUAUUAAAUUAUUAAUCAUCCCAUCUUUAGUGGUUAACAUUCAUGGAUAUUGAAUAGAACCAUCAGCUAAUCUAAUGCAAAUACAA